AACGUAGGACACAAGCGUUAUCCGGAGUUACUGGGCGUAAAGGGCGUGUAGGCGGACUUGUAAGUCUAUUCUGAAAGCUCCUGGCUAAACUGGGAGAGGCGAAUGGAGACUGCAAAUCUAGAGUGAGGAAGAGGAAAGUGGAAUUCCGCGUGUAGCAGUGAAAUGCGUAGAUAUGCGGAGGAACACCGAUGGCGAAGGCAAUCCCCUGGGCCUGCACUGACGCUCAUGCACGAAAGCGUGGGGAGCAAACAGG
rnacentral:rRNA from 1 species